UGCGGUUAUUCUACUAGUCCUCAC
rnacentral:siRNA from 1 species